rnacentral:tRNA from 1 species
UCCGCCGUAGGGUAAUUGGCAGCCCACCGUCUUUUGGUGUCGGGAUGUCCUGGUUCGAGUCCAGGCGGCGGAAC